CGGCGACAUCAUGUAAGCCCGGAUAUGGAUUAAACAAGAAAAAUAAUAGAAAAAAAAGAUUUCAGAAAUGUUUUUACCUUUUUCUUCUUUCUUUUUUGUUGUUGUUGAUGACUGAGAGAAGAGAGGAGAAAGGAAGGGAAAGAAAAAAGGAGGAGGCGGAUGCCACCGCCGAGGCCGCCGUUAAGAGGGGGCUGAGGGCGGCGGCGGCCGAGAGAGGAGAGAAAGAGAAAAAAGAAGAAAAAAGAGGAAGAGGAAGAUCCGCGACGGCGGCGACGUGGCGAUGUGGUGGACGCGGGGCGAUUGCGCGAUAGCGACGGGGGCGGGGGGCGGGAGGGGGGAGGAGGGCAGGGAAGAGAAGAGGAGAGGUAGAGAGGAGGGAGGAGAAGAGAAGAGAAGAAGAGAGUUAGAGAGAAGGGAGAGAUUUUAGAGAGAAGGCAAAGAGAAUUGAGAGAGGAGAGGGGAGGACAGAGAGUGGGAGGCUGUAAAAUGGUCGAUUUUUGGUGAAAAUUGCCCUUUUAUACGACCUAUUACGGUUAGAAUGCAAUGAUUGAAUUGCCCCUACCUCCCCUCUUCAGCGGCAAAGCUCCAGGGACAGUUUUGUCUUUUCAAAUUUCUGGUCGAGCAGGAAGUAAUGCCUCCCCCACCCGCCGGAUCUGGACUGUUACUUGGUUGGGCCCAGCUUAAGUUUGGGCCCAAUUGAUUAAAUAAGGGCAAGCCUUUUUCCAAUUUAAGUCAUAUUCAUGUUACAUUAAAACCUUAUUAAGAUUGAAAUAAAAUUGAAAUAAAGUGUGGAAUAAUAGCAUAAUAAAGGUUUUAAGUUCUUUAAUUUUUUGUUAAUAUUGUAAACUUAAAAAACUCAAAACUUUAUAUUUAUCCGAAUUGAUGUAGCAUUUUAAUUGACAUUAAUACAACGACAAUAUAACUAUCAAAUCUUCUAAAAUAUUUAUGGCAUAUUUAUUUAAAUAAACAUUCGUUUCCCGUCCUGUAAUGUGUUUUUCAAUUAGGUCAAAUCAAGUUAAUGUAAAUUAUUUAAUUUGUCAUUUGGGAAAUAAUGUGAAAAUUCCUUGAUAAUUA
rnacentral:lncRNA from 1 species